rnacentral:rRNA from 1 species
AUGGACGUGGAGCUCGUUGAAAAUAUGCUAGCUAUAGCUGAGCCCAACACUAGAAGCUUGAUCUUUUCAAUGAUGGAUUCAUUAUCUCAUGUGGAGUUUACAAAGCUUGAUCUUUUCAAUGAAGACGGGGGUGAUCAGCGCAAUAUGCAAGAUGACCCAGGGUUUUACUUGGGCUCCUUGGCUCUGGUUCCCCCUAGAUUGAGUGACCCGAUGACUUGGGAGGCCCUAUCUCCUCUUAAAACUUUGGCCCUUGCGGAAGACCUGAUGAUUCAGCGGUUGAGGAUUGCAUCACUGCACAUCAGUCAUCAUAGGAUAUAUGCACACUUGGACCUAUUAACACCCUCAUCAAGGAGAUCAACGAAAAGAGAGGCCUGCUCAAUUGUUCAUGUAGGGUGUUCCACUAAUAUGGAGGUACACCACCUAGUGAAACAUGCUUUGAACUUAGCUGGGGUCACUACAUGUGGCUCCUGA